rnacentral:tRNA from 1 species
GCAGCAAUAGCUUAAAUUAAAGCAUUGGUCUUGUAAGCCAAAGAUGAGAAUUUUUACUCUUACUGCU